rnacentral:rRNA from 1 species
AGGACGAACGCUGGCGGCGUGCUUAACACAUGCAAGUCGAGCGGAAAGGCCAUUUCGGUGGUACUCGAGCGGCGAACGGGUGAGUAACACGUGAGUAAUCUGCCCCUGGCUUUGGGAUAGCCACCGGAAACGGUGAUUAAUACCGGAUACGACCCGCCCUCGCAUGGGGGUGUGUGGAAAGUUUUUCGGCCAGGGAUGUGCUCGCGGCCUAUCAGCUUGAUGGUGGGGUAAUGGCUCACCAUGGCUUCGACGGGUAGCCGGCCUGAGAGGGUGACCGGUCACACUGGGACUGAGACACGGCCCAGACUCCUACGGGAGGCAGCAGUGGGGAAUAUUGGACAAUGGGCGAAGCCUGAUCCAGCAACGCCGCGUGAGGGAUGACGGCCUUCGGGUUGUAAACCUCUUUCAGUACCGACGAAGCGGAAGUGACGUAGGUACAGAAGAGCACCGGCAACUACGUGCCAGCAGCCGC